AACGAUAAAUUCGCGUUUUAAACGCCCACACGAGUAAUCAAAUAUUAAAAAAGAACAUAUUGUUAUGUAGAAUUAUUGGUAUGUAAUUUUCUAGUGUAUGCGUAUGCAUACAUAAGAUCACUGCAAUUAAAAAGUAAUUAAUAAUAUUUUAUUAAGUUACUCUCAAAAAAAAUAAUUAAGUAACCUUUUUU
rnacentral:misc_RNA from 1 species